AGAAGAAACAAACUAGUUUUUCUGGAGUACAGAAAGAAAUCCAUCUUUUAUGUCCUGAAAAUAAUAUGUUUUCUCAUGUGAUGACCACUGCCUUAUACUAUGUUAUAAUAGGGCGUUACGCUGCAGAUGGCUGUUUCUUAUGACCUUCCCCAAGGUAGCUGAGCACAUGAUGACUUACUGGAGGCACAAGCGACCCCCCCUGGUAGCAUGAAACACUACAUAUUCGUCCAACUACAGUGGGGUGGGGUGGGGAGGAGGACAGACCUUGGAGCCCACUGUAGCAUUCUGUUGAUCUGUCUUGAUCCAAACAUGAUGAACCAGAGGAAAUGGAAUUCACCAGAAGCCAUUUCAGGCGGUGUCUUCUGUCAUGCAGAAAAAAUGUUCUGACUAGGUAAAAAGGGGCUGGUGGGGAUGUUCAGGAUCAGAAAAUGGCCACAGGCUUGCUCUAUGUAGUACAGGGAAGAAGAUUUUUGAAGUGUGUGUAGGAAUGAGGUGGCGAAGGAAGGAGGUAGACUUGGCAGGCAGGGGGAAAGGCAGGGAAGGUGAUCCCUUGGUGGCCAAGGCAAAACGUCUUUGAGAUAUAUCAGGGAAUAGGUGGUGGAAAUUCCUUUCCCUUCUCCCUCCAAGGUCAACAAUUCCUCACUAUUCCUGUGCUUUCCUGUGAACUUGCUCCUCUUGGGGAAACCCCAAAGAAGAGAUGGUCUGUGUGCCCAAGGGGAUACAGGCAGAGCAGAGUGCAAGAGCAAAGAACGUUCCAGAGAACAUCUGGUUAUAUGAGUGCAAACUUAGGCACAAUGCAUAUCCAUUGGUAAUCCUCCAAAAGUGCCACUUCUCCCAAGGGAAUGUGUAAGGUGCAUUGGGCAGUGAGUCCCUGGCAGGCACUAUAACCACAACCCUAGUGUUGUGGGGUCCACUGAGCUGGACCAAGGAGUGAAGUGUCCUUAUAAACUGCAUUUCAAAUGGGUAAAGGAGUUUAACAAUAAAUAUAUUAAGGGCAUGAGGACACGCAUCUCUCUACAAAGAGUAUCACAUUGAAAGCUUUCCUUCUGUCUAGUAAACAGUCUUGCCCAGAAUACCCAUGUGAGACCAAUUCACUUGGAAACACAGUCUUGGUACAUAGUAAACAUUUGAUAAGUACCUAGGAAUGAAUGACUUGGUAAACGUGUCUCAUCCUGGCCUUACGUGAGUUACUGAACUUGCUCUGGGCUUCAAUACCCUCAUCUGUAAAACCUCACAGUGUUUUGAAAAUAGCCUAACACUCAGUGAGGACAAGAUAAAUGUUAGCUUCCAUAUGAUUCAUGGAGUGGAUUAAAUCAAUUGCAAGGUCUAGGUUAUAUUAAACUUGUAUUUGUUCAUUGAACAAGUGUUGAGUUCUAACUGAAAACAAUGAAGGCAGAACACACAGCUUGUUUACUUCACUAUUCCCAGUGCUUAGGACAGGCUUCAUGUAUAAUAGGUGCUCAAUAAAUGUUGAUUGACCAAAUGAAUAAAUCUGUAUGCUGAUCAUUCUAAAUUCUCACUGCAUUGGGUUAUCUUGUGGAAAAAAAGAUACAUGACUACAAUUCUUUUAAGAGGUAGUAAAGAACCUGACCAGAUUUGUUCACUUUUGGAAAAACAUGGAAGAUCCAACAAGGAGUUACUUCUGUAUCAUUGAUGAUUGGCUAGCUUCACAACUCAAUGAACUUGUUUCUUACUUAUGCUCUGUGUCCAUCAUGGAUGGUCAGGGACUCUGUUCCAGGGCUCCUUGGUCUAAGACAUUGACAUGUGCCAUGGCCAAGGGGGAAACACCCUGGUGAGUCUGUGUCAGCACUUAGAUGCUCUCCACUGAAAGUGACACAUCACUUCUGCUCCUACCAACUGGCUCAGGCUAGCCACAGUGACCCAUCCAACCCAGGGAACAGGAAGUUCAGUCUCCAUGUGUCCAGAAGUGGGAAAACUGAGGAUCAGUGGGCAGGAUGAAUCACUACCUCCAACAAGGCUCUCAGCUCAGACAAGGAAAGUUGUUUCUUUAUUAAGAAAUAGAUAAUUUUCAUAUCUAUGUUCCAGUGCAUAGGAAAAGAUGAAAGUUUUAUCAUUCUUUCUGUAGAACUAUCAUGUCUCUAGUGUCCAAAUAUGACAAUGACAGCAUAAAACCAAAUGAAUAGAACAAUCAUAAAAAUGGCGACAUAGUUAAUGUUUGCAAUAACAUGCUCAUAAAUUGAAUUCAUCUCUAUAGAGAGAAUAAUUUCAUUAUAACCAAACUCUAGCAUCCUAGGAAUACAAGGAUGGCUGAAAGGAAAAUAGAAUCCCCUCCACUGACAAUGAAAGGGCAUUUUCAUGUACCUGUGUUCAAAUCUACAGUCUGCCACUUAAUAACUCUGACUUUGGAGAAGUAUAUAACCUCUCCAAUCCUUAGUUUUUCACAUCUGUAGAGUGCAAUCUUCACCGUCCUUACUUCCCAGGGUAAUUGUGAGGCUAAGACAAUGAAUAUGAAGUGUUAUUCAGCACCUGCUUGUGUGUGAUGUCAGUGCUCAGUGCCAGCUGAUUCUAUUACUAUUAUUAUUAUCAUGGCAUUGAGUCAAUAGCUGGCUCAGAACUUAUGUAUCUCUUUACUCCACAAAUAUAUAUUGAGCACCUAUUAUGUGCCACUUUCCAAGAGGAAGUUUCUGCCCUCAUGAAGUGUACAUUCUAGUGGGCAAAAACCGAGGAAACCAACAAGCAAAUGAGUCUAGUGUAUACCAUGGAGGAAAAAAAUAUGGAGAAAAAAUACACUAGUGAGAGAAUUGCAAAUGCUGUCUGUGGGCGAGGGUGGGAUGGGUGAGGCACUAUUUGUACAGGGUGCUCAGGAAAGAUCCUUCUGGUAAGGUGGGAACUGAGCAGAAAUCCGCGGGAAAUGGGAAUGAGGUAGGACACCAUUCAAUAUGUGGUGCUGUUCCAUCAGGAAAUGGAGUUUAGGGGCAUCCGGCUGGCUCAGUCAGUUGGGCACCCAACUUCAGCUCAGGUCAUGAUCACACAGUUUGUAAGUUCAAGCCCCAAGUCAGGUUCUGUGUUAACAGCUCAGAGCCCAGAGCCUGCUUCAGAUUCUGUGUCUCCCUCUUGCUCUGCCCCUCCCAUGCUCAUGCUCUGUCUCUCAAUAAUAAAUAAAUGUUAAUUUUUUUUUUUUUAUUUUAAGGAUAUGCUGCUUUCAGUCCCUCUCUGCUUGGAGCUACCUCCCACCCUAUGAACAAGCUUGAGCCAGACUGGUAGAGAUUAAGAGACACGUGGCCCAGCAUUGGUCUGCAUCUUACAGGGUAAUCGCCAAGACCAGGGUUUCCUUCUGCCUUGGGUUUAAUUGGAGGUGAGUGCAUCCAGUGGGUUCAAAAGUCAUCUGGGCCCCAAGUGUGGAGAGCAGAUCCUGGCCCAGGAGAGGACUUGAGCAGUCAGCUGUGACUUCUCUGUUCAUGAAAACCUUAUUGGCGACCUCUAUCAACUGAGUGAUAUUCAUCCCGGCAAAGCCCUCCAACUUCUGGAGUUUUCUUCUGAUAUCUGGGGAAGCCUGUGCCCCAAAGGAGGUUAAGGCUGCCAGGGGUUCAGCUCUGCUCACAUGGAUGGGACAGAGAUCUGACAGCAGAGGCCAGAGGACCUGGCUCUGCCACAUGCCUUCAGCCCUGGAAGACUGGAGCCUCAGAUGAUGGACCUAUGAGUGUGUCUGAGAGCCACAGGGUGGUCCCUGAACCACUGGGGUCUGAGUUCAGCAGGGAGACUGCCUUGUCCCUUGGCCUUCAGGUGAUGGUGCCCUUCAUGUUUGCAGGACCGGGACUAUCCAGGGCUGGUGUGCUUUUGAACUAUUUCCAGAAUUGAGAGGACCUGGAAAGAUGGCAGCUUAGGAGGACACUGGGCUCACCUCGUCCUGCUGAUCACUUAGAUUCCACCCGCAUCUGCCUAAUAACCCAGAAAACCACCAGAAGACUAGCAGAAUGGACUCUCCGGAGCCAAGUGUAGACAAGAGGCCCGUGGAAGAGGGUAGGAAAGGUGGAGAGGCAGUGCCUGCUACACGGACUGGUGGGAGGGAGCCGAGGUCGUGGAGGGGCAGCCUGCUGGGCAAGGCAGAGCCCCUUGCAAAAGCAGAGGGGCCAGACUCCAUGGGUUCUGACAGCCAGUGGGACUUAACAUCUGGAAUGUUAAAAGUAAACAGCUCUGCUCUUGGAGAGCAAGGAGGGCAAGAAGACGCUGGGAGGGAGAGUUGUUGAGCCCCGGAAGACAGAGUUCAGCUCAGUGGGGGAACAAAGGUGCUGGCAAGCGCCAUCUCCCUCUCCCAUCCCCCAGCCAAAAUUCCAAAGGGAGCCGGCUACCAUCACCGAACUUGCUUGCACCACGCAAACGCCCAAUGCUGUGCUUCUGUGGAUCCAUCCCUCCAAUGGGUCUGCCUCCCUCCCAGUGCUGCAGCGCCCCUCCUGCAAGCGACCACUGAUGGCAAAGUGAGCUAAGCCUGCCACUCCCACCCCUGUGCACGUUGCGGAUCAACCCCAGCUAAUAUGCCAGAUUCCAUCCAAGCAACACCACAAGCCUGGCAGUGUGUAGGUAGCCCAGACAGGGGCCACACCACUCCACAGUUAGUCCUGCCCCUGGGGGAGGGGAAGAUAAGGUACAUACCAGUCUGACUGUGGCCCCAGUGGUGGGCUGGGGACAGACAUCGGGUCUGACUGUGGCCUGCCCACCAACACAAGUAACUCCAGACAGCACAGGGGAAGUGUCCUGCAGUUUGGAGCCACUGGAGGAACUACCCAAAAUGACAAAAUGGAAGAAUUCUCCUCAAAAGAAACUCCAGGAAGUAGUGACAGCUAACAAAUUGAUCAAAAAUGAUUUAAGCAAUAUAACAGAACAAGAAUUUAGAAUAAUAGUCAUAAAAUUAAUUGCUGGGCUUGAAGAAAGCAUAGAGGACAGCAGAGAAUCUAUCGCUACAGAGAUCAAGAGACUAAGAAAUAGUCAUGAGGAGUUAAAAAUGGUAUAAAUUAGGUGCAAAAUAAAAUGUAGCUGGCCAUAGCAUGGAUUGAAGAGGCAGAGGAGAGAAUAGGUGAAUUAGAAGAUAAAAUUAUGGAAAAAGAGGAAGCUGAGAAAAAGAUAAAAAAAAUCCAGGAGUAUGAGGGGAGAAUGAGAGAACUAAGUGAUGCAAUCAAAUGGAAAAAUAUCCAUAUCAUACAAAUUCCAGAAGAAGAAGACAGAAAGCGGCUGAAGGUGUACUUGAACAAAUCAUAGCUGAGAACUUUCCUGAUCUGGGGAAGGAAAAAGGCAUUGAAAUCCAAGAAGCACAGAGAACUCCCUUCAGACGUAACUUGAAUCGAUAUUCUGCACGACAUAUCAUAGUGAAACCGGCAAAAUUCAAGGAUAAAGAGACAAUUCUGAAAGCAGAUAGGGAUAAACAGGCUGUAACUUACAAAGGUAGACACAUAAGAGUAGUGGCAGACCUAUCUACUGAAACUUAGGCCAGAAAGGAAUGGCAGGAAAUCUUCAAUGUGAUGAACAGAAAAAAGUAUGCAGCCAAGAAUCCUUUAUCCAGCAAGCCUGUCAUUCAGAAAAGAAGAAGAGAUAAAUGUUUUCCCAAACAAACAAAAACUUAAGGAAUUCAUCACCACUAAACCAGCCCUACAAGAGAUCCUAAGGGGGAGUACCAGAGACAUCACUACAAGCAUGAAACCUAUAGACAUCACAAUAACUCUAAACCCAUAUCUUUCAAUAAUAACAGUGAAUGUAAAUGGACUAAAUGCCCUAACCAAAAGACAUAAGGUAUCAGAAUUGAUAAAAAACAAACAAACAAACAAACAAGACCCAUCUAUUUGCUGUCUACAAGAGACUCAUUUUAGACCUGAGGACACCUGCAGAUUGAAAGUGAGGGGAUGGAGAACUAUCUAUCAUGCUACUGGAAGUCAAAAGAAAGCUGGAGUAGCCAUACUUAUAUCAGACAAACUAGACUUUAAGUUAGAGGCUGUAACAAGAGAUUAAGAAGGGCAUUAUAUAAUAAUUACAGGGCCUAGCCAUCAGGAAGAGCUAACAAUUAUAAAUGUCCACGUGCCGAAUACGGGAGCCCCCAAAUAUAUAAAAUAAUUAGUCACAAACAUAAGCAACCUUAUUGAUAAUUGCAGGGGACUUUAAUACCCCACUUACAAUAAUGCAUAGAUCAUCUAGACACAGAAUAAAGAAACAAGGGCCCUGAAUAAUACAUUGAAUCAGAUGGACUUGACAGAUAUAUUUAGAACACUGCAUCCCAAAGCAACAGAAUAUACUUCUCGAUUGCACAUGGAACAUUCUCCAAGAUAGAUCACAUACUGGGUCACAAAACAGCCCUUACUAAGUAUAAAAGAAUUGAGAUCAUACCAUGCACACUUUCAGACCACAAGGCUAUGAAACUUGAAAUCAACCACAGGAAAAAGUCUGGAAAACCUCCAAAUGCAUGGAGGUUAAAGGACAUCCUACUAAAUAACGAAUGGGUCAACCAGACAAUUAGAGAAGAAAUUUAAAAAUAUAUGGAAACAAAUGAAAAUGAAACCACAACAAUCCAAACCCUUUGGGAUGCAGCAAAGGCAGUCCUGAGAGGAAAAUACAUUGCAAUCCAGGCCUUUCUCAAGAAACACGAAAAAUCCCAAAUAAGAAAUCUAACAGCACACCUAAAAGAACUAGAAGCAGAACAGCAAAGAAACUGCAAACCCAGAAGAAGAGAAAUAAUAAAGAUCAGAGCACAAAUAAACAAUAUAGAAUUCAAAACAAAACAAAACAAAACAAAAACCCCACAGGAACAGAUCAAUGAAACUGAGUUGGUUUUUGAAAAAAUAAACAAAAUUGAUAAACCUCUAGCCAGGCUUCUCAGAGAGAAAAGAGAGAGGAUCCAAAUAGAUAAAAUCACAAAUAAAAAAUGGAUUUAUUACAACCAAUCCCUCAGAAAUACAACCAAUUAUCAGGGAAUACUAUGAAAAACUAUAUAUCAACAAACUGGACAAACUGGAAGAAAUGGACAAAUUCCUAAACACCCACACCACGCACUACCGAAACUCAAACAGGAAGAAAUAGAAAAUAUGAACAGACCCAUAACUAGUGAAGAAAUUGAAUCAGUUAUCAAAACUCUUCCAACAAAUAAGAGUCCUGGACCAGAUGGCUUCCCAGAGGAAUUCAACAAGACAUUUAAAGCAAAGUUAAUACUUAUCCUUCUCAAGCUAUUCCAAAAAAUAGAAAUGGAAGGAAAAUGUCUAGACUCCAUGUAAAAAGCCAGCAUUACUAUGAUACCCAAAUACCAGACAGAGACCCAACA